UGUAAGCGUAUACCAAAGUUGUUGCAGUUAAAACGCUCGUAGUCGGACUUUGGCAGUUCCGGAUGUGUGCACGUCGUGUGCGCACUUCGCGGGGAUUGCUUUUGUGGUCUUGCGUAGGAUGAGGCACUUUUAUUAGUGAACGUCCUCACGCAACCACUUUUUACUGUGAGAAAAUCAGAGUGCUCAAAGCAGGCAUUUGCCGUGAAUGUAUUAGCAUGGAAUAAUAGAAUAGGACUUGGUUCUAUUUUGUUGGUUUGUUGGGACUGAGUAAUGAUUAAGAGGGACAGUUGGGGCAUUUGUAUUUCGGUGCUAGAGGUGAAAUUCUUAGAUUACCGAAAGACAAACUGCUGCGAAAGCGUCUGCCAAGGAUGUUUUCAUUGA
rnacentral:rRNA from 1 species